UACGCAGGGUGCGAGCGUUGUCCGGAAUUAUUGGGCGUAAAGAGCUCGUAGGCGGUUUGUCACGUCUGCUGUGAAAUCCCGAGGCUCAACCUCGGGCCUGCAGUGGGUACGGGCAGACUGGAGUGCGGUAGGGGGAGAAUGGAAUUCCUGGUGUAGCGGUGGAAUGCGCAGAUAUCAGGAGGAACACCGAUGGCGAAGGCAGUUCUCUGGGCCGUAACUGACGCUGAGGAGCGAAAGCGUGGGGAGCGAACAGG
rnacentral:rRNA from 1 species